rnacentral:rRNA from 1 species
GAUGAACGCUGGCGGCGCGCCUAACACAUGCAGGUCGAACGAUUAAAGCACCUUCGGGUGUGUAUAAAGUGGCGAACGGCUGAGUAACACGUGGGCAACCUGCCCCUUUCAUUGGGAUAGCCACGGGAAACCGUGGAUAAUACCGAAUACUUCGAGACUUCCGCAUGGAAGACUCGAGAAAGCUCCGGCGGAGAGGGAUGGGCCCGCGGCCUGUUAGCUUGUUGGUGGGGUAACGGCCUACCAAGGCAAUGAUGGGUAGCUGGGUUGAGAGACCGACCAGCCAGAUUGGGACUGAGACACGGCCCAGACUCCUACGGGAGGCAGCAGUGGGGAAUCUUGCACAAUGGGCGAAAGCCUGAUGCAGCGACGCCGCGUGCGGGAUGAAGGCCUUCGGGUUGUAAACCGCUUUCAGCAGGGACGAGGCGAAAGUGACGGUACCUGCAGAAGAAGCCCCGGCUAACUACGUG